rnacentral:rRNA from 1 species
UACAGAGGUCUCAAGCGUUGUUCGGAUUCAUUGGGCGUAAAGGGUGCGUAGGCGGCGCGGUAAGUCGGGUGUGAAAUCUUGGAGCUUAACUCCGAAACCGCAUUCGAUACUGCCGUGCUUGAGGACUGGAGAGGAGGCUGGAAUUUACGGUGUAGCGGUGAAAUGCGUAGAUAUCGUAAGGAAGACCAGUGGCGAAGGCGGGUCUCUGGACAGUUCCUGACGCUGAGGCACGAAGGCCAGGGGAGCAAACGGG